rnacentral:tRNA from 1 species
GGGCGAUUAGCUCAGUUGGCUAGAGCACUUCCCUUACAAGGAAGAAGUCAUAGGUUCGAGUCCUAUAUCGCCCACCA